rnacentral:rRNA from 1 species
CCUGGAGGGCAAGUCUGGUGCCAGCAGCCGCGGUAAUUCCAGCUCCAAUAGCGUAUAUUAAAGUUGUUGCAGUUAAAAAGCUCGUAGUUGAAUUUCGGGGUCAGCAGGUUGGUCAUGCCUCUGGUAUGCACUGGUUUCGCUGAUUCCUCCUUUCUGAAGAACUGUAAUGUCAUUAAUUUGGUGUUGCAGGGAAACAGGACUGUUACUUUGAAAAAAUUAGAGUGUUUAAAGCAAGCUAACGCUUGAAUACAUUAGCAUGGAAUAAUGAAAUAGGACGUUUGAUCCUAUUUUGUUGGUUUCUAGGAUUGACGUAAUGAUUAAUAGGGAUAGUUGGGGGCAUUAGUAUUCAAUUGUCAGAGGUGAAAUUCUUGGAUUUAUUGAAGACUAACUACUGCGAAAGCAUUUGCCAAGGAUGUUUUCAUUAAUCAAGAACGAAAGUUAGGGGAUCGAAGACGAUCAGAUACCGUCGUAGUCUUAACCAUAAACUAUGCCGACUAGGGAUCGGAUGAUGUUAAUUUUUUAAUGACUCAUUCGGCGCCUUACGGGAAA